rnacentral:rRNA from 1 species
UUAAGAUACUAAGAGCAUACGGUGGAUGCCUUGGCGAUAUCUGCCGACGAAGGACGUGACAAGCUGCGAAAAGCUGCGGAGAGAUGCAAAUAAUCGGCGACCCGCAGACAUCCGAAUGGAGAAAUCCGGCUGUGAUGAUGCACAGCCAUCCAUGCCCAAGAGCAUGAGAAGGGAACCGGGCGAACUGAAACAUCUAAGUAACCCGAGGAAAAGAAAUCAAACGAGAUACCCCAAGUAGCGGCGAGCGAACAGGGAAGAAGCCCAAACCGGUGAAGGAAACUUUACCGGGGUUGAGGACCAUCAGACCCGCGAAGAACCUUAGCCGAAACUGUUGGGAAACAGUGCCAAAGACAGUGAAAGCCUGGUAGGCGAAAAAGAGAAACGCGGAGAUGGCACCAGAGUACCGCGGGACACGAGAAAUCCCGUGGGAAGCAGGGGGGACCACCCUCCAAGGCAAAACACAGAUAUCGACCGAUAGCGCAUAGUACCGUGAGGGAAAGGUGAAAAGCACCCCGGGAGGGGAAUGAAAGAGAACCUGAAACCGUAUGUUUACAAGCAGUCGGAGACCGCUUAAUAAUAAGGUCGACGGCGUGCCUAUUGAAGAAUGAACCGGCGAGUUACGAAGCCUGGCAAGGUUAAGCAGGAAAUGCGGAGCCGAAGCGAAAGCGAGUCUUAAGAGGGCGCAAGUCAGGAAGCGUAGACCCGAAACCACAGUGAUCUACCCAUGUCCAGGUUGAAACACAGGUAAAAAUGUGUGGAGGACCGAACCUAUAUCCGUUGAAAAGGGUUAGGAUGAGGUGUGGGUAGGGGUGAAAUUCCAAUCGAACGUGGAGAUAGCUGGUUCUCCCCGAAAUAGCUUUAGGGCUAGCCUCAGGGAAAAGAUUGCAGGCGGUAGAGCACUGAUCAGGAGAGGGACCUACCCGGUUACCAAACCCAGUCAAACUCCGAAUGGCUGCAAUCAUACCUGGGAGUCAGACUGCGACUAAUAAGGGCCGCAGUCAAAAGGGAAACAGCCCAGACCAUCAGCUAAGGUCCCCAAUGCCGUGCUAAGUGGCGAAGGAUGUGGCAUUUCAUAAACAACCAGGAUGUUGGCUCAGAAGCAGCCACCAUUUAAAGAGUGCGUAAUAGCUCACUGGUCGAGAGACGCUGCGCCGAAAAUGUCCGGGGCUCAAGCACGGAACCGAAGCUAUGGCAUGAUAGCAAUAUCAUGGGUAGGGGAGCGUUCUUAUAAGGAAGAAGCAUGACCGGAAGGACAUGUGGACGAAUAAGAAGUGAGAAUGCCGGUAUGAGUAUCGAAAAGAAAGGUGAGAAUCCUUUCCACCGAAAGCCCGAGGGUUCCUGAGCAACGAUCGUCGACUCAGGGUAAGUCGGGACCUAAGCCGAGGCGAGAAGCGUAGGCGAUGGACAACAGGUUGAAAUUCCUGUACCGGAUCAAGUCGAUCGAGCGAAGGAGCGACGCAGGAGGGCACAUGAUCGCGCGGCUGGAAGAGCGCGUCCAAGUGCGUAUGUUGCUGCAGAGGAAAACCCCUGCAGCUGAAAGCAGAGACAUGAAGGGGAGUUAAAGGAAACUUUGACGAACUCAUGAAUCCCACACUGCCAAGAAAAACUUCUAGCGAGACAAGAUCCGCCCGUACCGUAAACCGACACAGGUAGGCGGGGAGAGAAUCCUAAGGUGCGCGGGAAAACCCUCGUUAAGGAACUCGGCAAAUUGCAUCCGUAACCUAGGGAGAAGGAUGGCCCCCGGUCAGUGAAGAGCAGAAACGCUCAGAGCUAAAAGGGGCGGCAGAAAAGAGGCCCAAGCAACUGUUUACCAAAAACACAGGUGCCUGCGAAAGCGAAAGCUGAAGUAUAGGUGCUGACGCCUGCCCGGUGCCGGAAGGUUAAGGAGAGAAGUUAGCGAAAGCGAAGCAUCGAACUGAAGCCCCGGUGAACGGCGGCCGUAACUAUAACGGUCCUAAGGUAGCGAAAUUCCUUGUCGGGUAAG